rnacentral:rRNA from 1 species
GACGUAGGGCGCGAGCGUUGUCCGGAUUUAUUGGGCGUAAAGAGCUCGUAGGCGGCUUGUCGCGUCGACUGUGAAAUCCCGCGGCUCAACUGCGGGUCUGCAGUCGAUACGGGCAGGCUAGAGUUCGGUAGGGGAGACUGGAAUUCCUGGUGUAGCGGUGAAAUGCGCAGAUAUCAGGAGGAACACCGGUGGCGAAGGCGGUUCUCUGGGAAUAUCCUGACGCUGAGGAGCGAAAGUGUGGGGAGCGAACAGG